CUCCUGAAGGGAUUCAAUCAAUUCUAAAACUUAACCAUUCUACAGACUACAGAUUCCACAACCACUCUAUCCCAUCCUUAAGAAUUCUAAGUCACUACUCACACAACAUGCUCAAAGACAUAAACGCAGGUAAAUGAUAAUAUUGCAUAAGUAAAGAGAUAAAGAGUAGAUGACAGGUGAAAUCAAAUGCGGAAUCUGAAUAACUUGGAAAAAUCUAGUGUCUGGCAACAGACUGUGCAGUCGAGUAUAGCUGGUUCAUAUCCUUUCUGUUACUCGACCACAUCCUGCUUCUGGCAUUAACCUGUUAUGGUCGAGUGAAUUUAGUAAUUCUGAUAAUGUUUCUGUUUUCUGCAUGUUCGCUUAGGACUGUUAGAAACCCCAAAACUGUUAUUGCUUGGCUUGACUUCGUGACUUCUGAUCACAUCUCAUUUGUUUGCAUCACACCCAUUUGGAUUGACACCUAAAAUACUACAACCACAUGAU
rnacentral:sRNA from 1 species